rnacentral:lncRNA from 1 species
GUCCCCUCUGAAGCAGCUGGGAACUCAGGAGGCCUUACCACCCCCGAGGAGUGGCCUAGCCAGGAGAGCAAUAAGGGAUGUCGUGGAGCCCACUCAAGGCCUGAGGAGUGAGCAUAAUCCACAGACCAUUGGACCUGGAGCCUCCAAGUCAGGGGGCCUGUACCACCAGGAGACUCAAGAAGAAUCGAUGCCUCGGCCCCCGGCGACAUGUACACGGUGUAAUGACAGGAAAUGAGCAGGUUUGCAGAGAAACUGCUCGCCUGAAAUUUAAGAAGAAGGCGUCGUUGCUUGUGCAGGGAGGAGAAAACCAACUCUGGGAAAAAGCAGAAAGGAUUUACCUGCCCCUCCCCACCGGAAGCAGCCCUGGAGUUCUUGCUCAGAAACAGCUCUGUGGUUUUUGCUCCUCCGGAAGUUGCAGGUUAAGCCCUCGGAUCCCAUCCUGGGAGUGGGGAGGUGGGAGGUGGAAUAAGUCAACCCAGAUGGUGCAGUCAUUGCGCUGCUGCUCCUCUCAGCCAAGCCCACAGGAGGGGAGGCAGAGCUGCUCUUGGGCUUCCUGGAACUGCAGGCACCAAACAGGUCCCUGGAGGUUCAGGCACGCGCCUCCUCUCUGGGCUAGCUGUUGCCACUUCCAUCCUGCUUCCUUCUUGUCGUCUUGGGGCCCUGGGCUAGAAGCCCUCCCACAUUGCAACCCCACCCCAGACAAGAAUGCAAGGAGCUGCAGCCAAAACCCAAGGGCGCCUCUUGUGUCCCAUAUCUCCCAUAGAACCAGGUGGGCAUUUGGGUGGGGAGAGAAAGACCAGGUGAAAACCGAAAGUCUAUUGAGUAGGCUGUUUAGCAAUGCCUUCGAUGGCAGCCCACACGCAGAGGAAGCUCACUGUGCAUUUCUUAGUGAUAAUAGCUGUAGCCCUGUGGGGUGGGAGAAAUGGGGCUUGAGACAGUACACUGAGGAGAGGCCUGUAUACUGGGAAAAUGGUGAAACACCCCUUUUCUAG